CUUACACCACUUUCAUGACCGACUAUAUGACAUAUUUACGUAAAUACAUAAGUGAAUUGCGCCAAAGACGCCGCACAGUGCCCAAAAUUAAUAAAAUUAAUUAGAUUUAAACAAUUAAACAACUAAUUAAACUAUAUCGAACACUUUUAAUUUUAAGCAGAAAGAUUCACAAGAUACAAGUACCAAAAUUUUAGCAAGAUUUCUUUUUCAUUUGUGGCAAAUAUAAAUUACUUAGUUCGAGGAUUGUUUUAAAAUGGUUUCAGACAUUAUCAAGAAACUUUAAUCAGAUGCAAGCGUAAAUUAUUUUAAAUACUCACAUAUAUUGAGGGGUAAGUUAAUAAAAAUCUAUUAAGUAGUUUAGUAUAUAUUUAAAACAAUUCUUCAAUAACUUUUUCAAAUUAAAACUUGUUGAGUUAGUCCUUCUGUUGUUAAAAAGUUUUAGUAAAUGUAGUUUAAAGUUGAUUGAACAAAAUGAAAAGAACUGAAUUAAUUGUAUCUCUAACUUCAAAAUUAUCGCAAUUUUAUUGAAAAACAAACAAAAAACAAUUGCUUGUAUUGUAUAUUUUAUAUUUCAACAUAUAUCUUAGUGUUAUUCUUCUUCUCUACACAUUAUGUGCUGCAUUACACUAUCUUAAAAUAAUUCAUUUUAUUCUUAAGUUUAAUUCUAUAAAUUAUUCUUAUUUUUUAUAUAUUUAAAGCUAAAAUAAACUAUAAAUUUUACUCAAAAUUCCAAAAUCUUGCAUAACAUGGCAUUUAAAUUGAAAAAUUAAAAGGAUAAGAAAAGAAAUUCAAAAUAUAAUUGGCAUCAGCAGCUAGGAUAAAUCAGUUUCAGUUGGAAAUUUAAAUGGAAGCAGUAUUGACAUCUAAGCCGCGCUGCUGCUGUGUUGUUGUUUGUUGUGGCCAUUGGGAAUUAAAUACAUUUCUUCGACACUUUUUAUAAACACGUUAAAGAGGCAUCAUGGGCUCUUCCACCUUUACACUCUACACAUCAUUACACAUAUUUGUAA